GACGAACGCUGGCGGCGUGCUUAACACAUGCAAGUCGAACGGAAAGGCCCUGCUUUUGUGGGGUGCUCGAGUGGCGAACGGGUGAGUAACACGUGAGUAACCUGCCCUUGACUUUGGGAUAACUUCAGGAAACUGGGGCUAAUACCGGAUAGGAGCUCCUGCUGCAUGGUGGGGGUUGGAAAGUUUCGGCGGUUGGGGAUGGACUCGCGGCUUAUCAGCUUGUUGGUGGGGUAGUGGCUUACCAAGGCUUUGACGGGUAGCCGGCCUGAGAGGGUGACCGGCCACAUUGGGCCUGAGAUACGACCCAGAGUCCUACGGGAGGCAGCGGUGGGGAAUAAUGCACAAUGGGCGGAGGCCUGAUGCAGCAACGCCGCGUGCGAGAUGACGGCCUUCGGGUUGUAAAACGCUUUCGCCUGUGACGAAGCGUGAGUGACGGUAAUGGGUAAAGAAGCACCGGCUAACUACGU
rnacentral:rRNA from 1 species